GUCUCUUUUGCCCUUUUCACAGCCCCUCUGUGUCUCUUUGUGUCUCCCCAGUCCUUCUGGGUGCCUCCCCCCCAAUCCCUGUAUGUCUCUUUUGCCCCUUCCCCAGUCCCUCUGUGGCUCUCACAUUCACACAGACACUCCACAGAAAUAAUAUGAUGAUACGUUGGGGACAGUGUAAUGUGAUUGUUGGUGAUAGGUUCUAAGGGUGCUGUGGUAUUUGUGUAGGUGAUCUGAUUUGAGGUAUUGGGGG